GUAAGCGGAGGAAAAGAAACUAACAAGGAUUCCCUCAGUAGCGGCGAGCGAACAGGGAAGAGUCCAGCACCGAACCUCGCGCUUGGUUAAGCGGGCGCCGAGGAAUGUGGUGUUCGGGAGGACCGUGCGCGUCUGUCCGGUAUAUCGUCCAAGUCUUCAUGAACGAGGCGAGCAACCCACAGAGGGUGUCAGGCCCGUAGGCUGACGAGCCGAGACCGUGUACCGGGUCCUUUCCCAAGAGUCGGGUUGCUUGAGCGUGCAGCCCUAAGCGGGAGGUAAACUCCUUCUAAGGCUAAAUAUCGCCACGAGACCGAUAGCGAACAAGUACCGCGAGGGAAAGUUGAAAAGAACUUUGAAGAGAGAGUUCAAGAGUGCGUGAAACCGUUCAGGGGGUUAAACGGGUGGGCCCUCGAAGGUCGAAACGUGUCCCCGCUCCCGCUACGUGGAGGCCGGACGCUAGUGGCGACCGAUCCGUCAAAAAGACGGUCGCCGUCUGCGCUUUUUCCGGCGGCUCUCCACGGGCUGCAAGUGGGGGACCUAGUAGGACUCCGCGACCGACUGGGCGGCUGUUAUAAGGGGCGCCGAUUUACGAAGGCGGGUAUUGUUGGGCUUCGGUCCUCCGUCCCGUCCGAGUGCGGCGCUUCCGAGCAGUCCUGCCCGGUCGUGACCUGUCAUCCGCCCGCGCGACUUUACGGUCGCGACGUCGGCGGACCCAGAGCGGAGAGUAGAAGUCGGGUCCCACCCGACCCGUCUUGAAACACGGACCAAGGAGUCUAACAUGUGCGCGAGUCGUCGAGUCAAUAACGAAACUCGUGAGGCGCAAUGAAAGUGAAGCAGCCCUGAAGAAGGUGUUCUGUACGGGAAGAUCUCUUCUUUUUUUCAAACCGGAGAGAGCGCAUUCCCGGGGCGUUCGAAGCCGCGACUUAGUCGGCCGAACGAACCUAGAGCGUACACGUUGGGACCCGAAAGAUGGUGACCUAUGCCUGGCCAGGACGAAGCCAGGGGAAACCCUGGUGGAGGUCCGCAGCGAUUCUGACGUGCAAAUCGAUCGUCGGAGUUGGGUAUAGGGGCGAAAGACUAAUCGAACCAUCUAGUAGC
rnacentral:rRNA from 1 species